rnacentral:lncRNA from 1 species
AAUCAAUUGUUUGACGGAUAUAAAUUGGACUGGAGUCUAUGUAUUGGCUCGAGAAGUUUUGAGGUGAGUUGAUAUAACUUUUUACUAAAGUGGUUUAACUCACAAAUGCACGCCUAUAAGGUGUUUGAUGAAUUGCUUAAAAGUGUUUAUCUUUAUUUAAUUAGAACGCGUUAGUACUCAUUAAUUUAGAAUUGUUCUAGCAAAAGUUUAGAUAAUCUAUUAUGCUAUAUGUGCUUAAAUUUCAGUUUUUUUUGUGUUAUUUUUAUAUGCUAGUUUCAUGUUGAAAAUUAUGAAGAAGAAAGGAUCUUUAGAAAUAUUUUUUUUAAUAUAUUUAUUUCAUUCUUAUGCCAUGCUUUACAUAUUCCAUUUUCAUGUUGAAUAUUCACGAAGAAAUUAAGAACAUUUAUAAAUACUUUUGAGAAUAUUUGUUUCAUUCUUAUGUCUUGCCUUACAUUUAAGGAAACCAGUAUGAGUAUGUAUAAAAUAUUUAGACUUGAAAAGUCACAAGAAGAAGCUUUAGAAAAAAAAGAUUUUUUGGGAGUAUCCUUUAUUCUGAGAAGGGGUCAUCGUCAAGGCCUAGGGUCCUGACCAAGACGUUGACUUCUUGAAACUACUUGUGCCAAAGUAGGGAGAACACGAGCCGAGGGUCUCGUUGCUGAGAGAUUACUUAGCCAUGCUAAGAUAUGAUACAUGAGCGCUGAGAACCAUGAAGCGAGUGGCACCUCGUGGAUUGGUCCUAUUCGAUCAGGUUGGGAUCGAACCCGUGCCGAUCACACGGUGAAUGAGACAGAAUUAAUUCAGGAUAGUUGGGACUCCCAAAGUAUAACGUGAAGUAUUUUUUUAAAAAAAUAAAGAAAAAAAAUAAUUUCUUUUAGAAUAUUCAUAAAUUGCUAUUAUGCAAUUAUUUUAGAAUUAUUCUUAUAAGCUUUAUGUUUUACAUGCAUUUAGAACCUUUGCUCAAAAUGCAUAUAUUAUUAAAUCUUCUCCCCCUGUUGUUGAGACUCAUUGAGUACAGUGGAUGGUACUGACGUUCUCUUUUGGGAACCUACGUUGGUCUGCGGUAUAAAGUAGGAACCGGAUUUGCAGGCGAGCAGGCUACGAGUUAGGACUUCCUUCCCUUUUAGUGAUAUUGGUGAGCUCCGCUUUUGUUCGUGGAGUAUUCUUAGAGUCAUUUUCAUUUAGCUAUUUCUUUAUUUAUUUAGAGAACUGGCCAGGAAAUCUCAUGUCCUGAUCAGUGCGUCAGUUUAUCAGUAGAGGCUUCAUAGACAUAGUCGUUGGGUUAAGAUUCAGAUGUUUCUGAUAAUAACUUAGAAGUAUUUUAUUGAUUACUAUGAAGAAAGUUUUGGAGUUGAUUUAUUUAAAUGUUUAAAUUAAUCAAAAGUAUUUUGUUAAGGUAUUGCCUUGUUGCAUGUAAAGUUGGAGUUAUAACAGAUUUGAUAAGUAUAAAUGGUUCGUUCGGUCAUGUUUAGUGAUCGAGUGCCGGUCUCGGCUUGUUCAGAAAAUGGGUCAUGACAAUAAAGGAAUCAAUUAAGUACCUUUUUCCUCAAAUCUGAACCGUCAAAAUCACUUCUUCCUUUGUCAGUUUCCACUUGAUAUUAGAGCGUCAGGUUUGUGGAGUCCUAGGGGUCUAUGAAGCCGUGUUAGUAGAGUCCUGUUUAGGUGUACGAAGCGCGCCAUACUUAUAAACAGGAGGCUACAAACAUUUAGGAAACAUCUCAAUUUUUUCAUACUUUAGAUCGUGCAGUAGAGCCUACCUCUAAGAAAUUAUCUAAUGUAUUCGUUUCUCCAAAACUCGUAGAAAUGGCUCGUACUCUCAACUCUGACACCGACACUCUGGAUGCUGCUCAAGAAAUUAUUGCUACUAUCGUGGCUCAAGGCAGAACUAAAAAGGCUCGAACUCAGAAAGGGAAGGGUAAAUCGACAAGGGAGGUUCAAGUACCCCAUGUUGCACAUGAAGAAGGGGUGGAGCAUGAUAAGCAAGUACCUUAGGAUCCAACGCCACCCCCAACAGCAACUCCGAUUCAAACAACUAUAACCCCAGAGAUGGGUCAGAUGUUCAAUGCAGUCAACAGUGUUAUGGAGAUGUUUAAGGCCUUUAUGGUUCAAGUACCCAGGUUGAACAUAAAGGAAGGGAUAGAGCAUAAUGAUCCAGUACCCCAGGAUCCAAUACUGCCCCCAACAGCAGCUCCGGCUCAGGCAACUAUAUCUCCCGGUGUAGGUCAGAUGUUUAAUGUUGUCAACAGUGCUAUGGAGAUGUUUAAAGCCUUUAUGGCCAACAAAAUGAGAGAAGAGAUAAGAUGCCGCCUCCAUCAAAUAGACAGAACAAUUUUGAGUCCUCAAAUGUUCUAUGGUUGUAUAGUUGACGAAUAUCCAAUGUUAUGGAUGGGGGGUGUUAAGAAAGCCCUCCGAGUGAUGAAAGUAUUUGAUGACAAAGCUGUGGAGCUGGCUGCUUACCAGCUUAGAGAUGUGGCUGGCGCUUGGUUUGAGAUGUGGGAAANNNNNNNNNNNNNNNNNNNNNNNNNNNNNNNNNNNNNNNNNNNNNNNNNNNNNNNNNNNNNNNNNNNNNNNNNNNNNNNNNNNNNNNNNNNNNNNNNNNNNNNNNNNNNNNNNNNNNNNNNNNNNNNNNNNNNNNNNNNNNNNNNNNNNNNNNNNNNNNNNNNNNNNCCUCAUAGCUAACUUUAUCCCAGAAGAGGAUACGGCAGCUAAGGCUACAGAGUUCGAACAACUCAAGCAUGAGAAUAAAAGUGUGCAACAGUACUACAUGGAAUUUAUAAGGUUAGCUAAGUAUGCUCUUCACAUGGUUAAGAUAGAAAAAGCAAAGAUUCGCAGGUUUGUUGGCGGUUUGGCUUACCACAUUAAGGAUACGACAUCAGCUGCAGCGGUAGGAAUGACAGCUUUCUCAUAUGUUGUGGGGGUCGCCAAGCACUUAGAAAAAGACAGACAACAAAGGAUAGAGGAGAAAGAGCAUAACAAGAAAUCCCGGACAACGAGAAGGUUUAGUGGUACAUCCAAUAGAGGCGGAAGGGAUUCCUCUAAUAAGAAGUCAUUAACACCAUCUCAGUCCAGUCAUUAGUCAGAUGGUGGGUCUUCCCUCAGACGUACUCAGAGUUAUGGAAAUCAGCGCCAAAAUUUUGAGUCCCUUGAAAAAAUAAGUAGUGCUAAGAAAACUUAAGAGGUUCAAGGACCUAACGGAUGAUUGUUAGCUUAAAAAUAAAGCCUAGUAACAUUCGAGGGCAAAUGUUUUUAAGGAGAGAAGAUUGUAACACCUCAAAUCGAUAAAAGUUUCAAGACCUGUUAAAUAAAGAAUUUAAUUUUUAUAAUCUUAAAUUAUACUUUUUAUUACGGAUUUAAACCCUUGUGAUUGAUUUUGAGUUACUUCUCUAUUUAUAAAUAAUUGAAUAUAUAAUAGGAGAAUAUUAAUCAUAUUAGAAUUAUUAAUUAGUAAAAGUAGGUGCCAUUAAUUAUUAGUUAAGUGAGAAGAAAACAAGAAAAAUAGUUAUAAUAAUAAUAAUAAAACAUAGAAGAAGAAAAAAGGGGCUAAAUCCUUGGAAAAAGUAAGAAACAAUACACAACAACCAUUGUUCUGUUUUAGUCACGACAAAAAAAAAAGGGCUUAAAGCCUUAAAAAUCUUAAAAGCCUAAAGUCUUACCAUUCAAAAGAGAAAAGGCAGAACAGUCACGGCAAAAAGGAUAGAAAACGCAACCUUACGAACGGCAGCAACCAAAAAGAAUUCUCACGCAGACAGCGAAAAAUUCUGGAUUCUUUAUAACUCGCUUAUUUUUUAACUCAGGUAUGUAAAAUUCUCUAUUGUCAAUUACCCUAUAAUAGUAAUAGGUAAAAAUUGAAUAGCUAAUUCCCUUCUUCCUCUAUAUCAUCAAUAAAUUUCAUAAUUGGUGUAGUACUUGAAAAUUAAUUAAAAUACACUGGUUGUUGUAGAAUCAAUUGUUUGACGAGUAUAAAUUGGAUGGAGUCUACGUAUUGGCUCGAGAAGUUUUGAGGUGAGUUGAUAUAACCCUUUACUAAAGUGGUUUAACUCACAAAAGCACGCCUAUAACGUGUUUGACGAAUUGCUUAAAAGAGUUUAUCUUUAUUGAAUUAGAGCGCGUGAGUACCCAUUAAUUUAGAAUUGUUCUAGUAAAAGUUUAGAUGAUUUAUUUAUGCUAUAUGUGCUUAAAUUUCAGAUUUUUUGUGUGUUGUUUUUAUAUACUAUUUUCAUGUUAAAAAUUAUGAAGAAGAAAGGAUCUUUAGAAAUAUUUUUUUUAUAUAUUUGUUUCUUUCUUAUGCCAUGAUUUACAUUUAAGGGCACCAAUAUGAGCAUGUACAUAAUGUUUUAUAAAGAAAAGAUUUAGACUUGAAAGGUCACAAGAAGAUGUAUUAUAAAGAAAUUUUUUUUUGGGAGUAUCUUUUAUUCUGAGAAGGGGUCAUCGUCCAGGCCGAGGGUCCUGACCAAGACGUUGACAUCCUGAAACUACUUGUGCCAAAGUAGGGAGCACACGAGCUGAGGAUCUCAUUGCUGAGAGAUUACUUAGCCAUGCUAAGUAUGAUACAUGAGCGAUGAGAACCAUGAAGCGAGUGUCACCUCGUGGAUUAGGCAUAUUCGAUCAGGUUGGGAUCGAACCCGUGCCGAUCACACGGUGACUGAGAUAGAAUUAAUUUAGGAUAGUUGGAACUCCCAAAGUAUAAAGUGAAGUAUUUUUUUUUAAAAGAAAGAAAAAGAAAAGAAUUUAUUUUAGAAUAUUCAUAAACUGCUAUUAUGUAAUUAUUUUAAAAUUAUGCUUAUAAGUUUUAUGUUUUACAUGCAUUUAGAACCUUUUCUAAAAAUGCAUAUAUUAUUAAAUCUUCUCCCCCUGUUGUUGAGACUCACUGAGUACACUAGAUGGUACUGGGGUUCUCUUUUAGGAACCUACGUUGGUCUGCGGUACAACGUAGGAACCGAAUUUGCAGGCGAGCAUGCUACGAGUUAGGGACUGCCUUCCCUUUUAGUGAUAUUAGUGAGCUCCGCUUUCGUUCGUGGAGUAUUCUUAGGGUCAUUUUCAUUUAGCUAUUUCUUUGUUUAUUUAGAGAACUGGCCAGGAAAUCUCAUGUCCUGNNNN